UGGGGAAUCUUCCGCAAUGGGCGAAAGCCUGACGGAGCAACGCCGCGUGAGUGAAGACGGCCUUCGGGUUGUAAAACUCUGUGAUUCGGGACGAAAGAUAAGCAGACGAAUAAUCUACAUAAGUGACGGUACCGAAAAAGCAAGCCACGGCUAACUACGUGCCAGCAGCCGCGGUAAUACGUAGGUGGCAAGCGUUGUCCGGAAUUAUUGGGCGUAAAGCGCGCGCAGGCGGCUACUUAAGUCCAUCUUAAAAGUGCGGGGCUUAACCCCGUGAUGGGAUGGAAACUGAGAAGCUGGAGUGUCGGAGAGGAAAGUGGAAUUCCUAGUGUAGCGGUGAAAUGCGUAGAGAUUAGGAAGAACACCGGUGGCGAAGGCGACUUUCUGGACGACAACUGACGCUUAGGCGCGAAAGCGUGGGGAGCAAACAGG
rnacentral:rRNA from 1 species